rnacentral:rRNA from 1 species
AACGAACGCUGGCGGCAUGCCUAACACAUGCAAGUCGAACGAAGCCUUCGGGCUUAGUGGCGCACGGGUGCGUAACGCGUGGGAAUCUGCCCCUUGCUUCGGAAUAACAGUUAGAAAUGACUGCUAAUACCGGAUGAAGUCUUCGGACCAAAGAUUUAUCGGCAAGGGAUGAGCCCGCGUAGGAUUAGGUAGUUGGUGGGGUAAAGGCCUACCAAGCCGACGAUCCUUAGCUGGUCUGAGAGGAUGAUCAGCCACACUGGGACUGAGACACGGCCCAGACUCCUACGGGAGGCAGCAGUGGGGAAUAUUGGACAAUGGACGCAAGUCUGAUCCAGCACUGCCGCGUGAGUGAUGAAGGCCUUAGGGUUGUAAAGCUCUUUUACCAGGGAUGAUAAUGACAGUACCUGGAGAAUAAGCCCCGGCUAACUCCGUG